CCUACGGGGGGCUGCAGUGGGGAAUAUUGGACAAUGGGGGGAACCCUGAUCCAGCCAUGCCGCGUGUGUGAAGAAGGCCCUCGGGUUGUAAAGCACUUUCAGUGAGGAAGAACGCCUGGUGGUUAAUACCCAUCAGGAAAGACAUCACUCACAGAAGAAGCACCGGCUAACUCCGUGCCAGCAGCCGCGGUAAUACGGAGGGUGCGAGCGUUAAUCGGAAUUACUGGGCGUAAAGCGCGCGUAGGUGGCUUGAUAAGCCGGUUGUGAAAGCCCCGGGCUCAACCUGGGAACGGCAUCCGGAACUGUCAAGCUAGAGUGCAGGAGAGGAAGGUAGAAUUCCCGGUGUAGCGGUGAAAUGCGUAGAGAUCGGGAGGAAUACCAGUGGCGAAGGCGGCCUUCUGGACUGAAACUGACACUGAGGUGCGAAAGCGUGGGUAGCAAACAGGAUUAGAUACCCGAGUAGUC
rnacentral:rRNA from 1 species